rnacentral:rRNA from 1 species
CAGCCGCCACGGGAAUACGAAGGGUGCAAGCGUUAAUCGGAAUUACUGGGCGUAAAGCGCACGUAGGCGGACUUUUAAGUCAGGGGUGAAAUCCCGGGGCUCAACCUCGGAACUGCCUUUGAUACUGGAAGUCUUGAGUGUGGAAGAGGUAAGUGGAAUUGCGAGUGUAGAGGUGAAAUUCGUAGAUAUUCGCAGGAACACCAGUGGCGAAGGCGGCUUACUGGUCCACAACUGACGCUGAGGUGCGAAAGCGUGGGGAGCAAACAGGAUUAGAUACCCGCGUAGUCCCUGUCUCUUAUAC